UUAACGAUUUUAAUUAGUACUCAGACGACACAGUUAUACAAGAGUUUUUGAAGGCUACUGGCGGGCACUGAUCAAGGGUCAGAUAACCCCCGACGGCCCCUAUAAGGCGGGCCCGCCAAAGCAACAGGGUAGAAUAUACACAGGGUUGGAGGUCGGGCCUGAGAGACCCUAACUCGGUAAUGAUCCUUCCGCAGGUUCACCUACGGAAA
rnacentral:misc_RNA from 1 species